rnacentral:rRNA from 1 species
AAAACAUGGCUCUUUGAGAUUUAUAUAUAAAGAGUCGGGCCUGCCCAGUGAUGUAUUUUUAACGGCCGCGGUACUCUGACCGUGCGAAGGUAGCAUAAUCAUUUGCCCUAUAAUUGAGGGCUAGUAUGAAUGGUUUGACAUGAGCAUAACUGUCUCCUUAAAAUUUUAUAAAAUUUGGUUUUUAGGUGAAGAAACCUAAAUUAAAUUGAAAGACAAGAAGACCCUAUCGAGCUUUAGAAUAAUUAGUUAAAAAAUAUAAAUAAAACAAUUAAUUUUAAUUAAAAACUUUGGUUGGGGCGACUGAGGAACAUAUAAAGCUUCCUUAACUAAACAAUGCUGAUAAGCAAUGAUCCAGGAAAUCUGAUUAAAAAAAUUAGUUACCGUAGGGAUAACAGCAUAAUCUUUUUUGAGAGCUCUUAUCGAAAAAAAGGUUUGUGACCUCGAUGUUGGACUAGGAUAUCCUAAAGAUGUAGAAGUCUUUAAUGGUUGCUCUGUUCGAGCAUAAAAAUCCUACGUGAUC